rnacentral:rRNA from 1 species
AAAUUGAAGAGUUUGAUCAUGGCUCAGAUUGAACGCUGGCGGCAGGCCUAACACAUGCAAGUCGAACGGUAACAGGAAUCAGCUUGCUGAUUUGCUGACGAGUGGCGGACGGGUGAGUAAUGUCUGGGAAACUGCCUGAUGGAGGGGGAUAACUACUGGAAACGGUAGCUAAUACCGCAUAACGUCGCAAGACCAAAGAGGGGGAC